CACAAGGGGUGAAGCCUGCGGUUCAANNNNGAGUCAACGCCGGAAAUCUUACCGGGGGCGACAGCAGAGUGAAGGUCAAGCUGAAGACUUUACCAGACAAGCUGAGAGGAGGUGCAUGGCCGUCGCCAGCUCGUGCCGUGAGGUGUCCUGUUAAGUCAGGUAACGAGCGAGAUCCCUAUCUCUAGUUGCUACUGCUGCUCUCAGGAGUAGUAGAGCUAAUUAGAGGGACCGCCGCCGCUGAGGCGGAGGAAGGAGGGGGCUACGGYAGGUCAGUAUGCCCCCGAAACCCYUCGGGCCCACACGCGGGCUGCAUUGGGUAAGGGACAAUGGGUUCCCUAUU
rnacentral:rRNA from 1 species